ensembl:lncRNA
CAAAAUCACAUGGGGCUUUCUUGGGGUGUCUUUUCGCCAUGAUCAGAGUAAUAAAACUUUUUUCUUUUGCAGGUACUUGUCGGUCAUCGGAUUUGUCAUCUAUAACGACGUGUGAUGCUGAUGAUUCCUGAACUGCUUGGAGCUCCUAUUUAAUUCAAUCAGAGCAUCAGGCGGCUGGAAUAACAAUCCAUCGGCACGCCAGUUCCAGGCCAUCUUCCGCCGGCUGAUGGUUCGGUGUGGUGUCUCACCUGGUGAGACAGGCAAUGUGGCAGCCCAGGAUAACACUGUGUCCCUGUCUGCUGUGGAGAUCUCUUCUCCUGAAACUGCUGAAGAGCACCCAUCUCCAUUCGCCAACAUUUGGCCCUUGUGUGUGACCACAGUUAUCUCCCCACUCGGUUUGGUGGUCUGGUGGCAAAUGCUCUGGUCUACAUAGCAGGGUUUGUAGUCCGGCAGAUUCUACGGAAACUGUCCUGUGAUGUGUGCCGUGCGAGCUUGGUCAGAGAUGCUGUACCAUCUUCAUUUGACAAGAGCUACCACCUUCUAACCCUGAAAAACAACGGCGGCCUAGUUAUUCCAUCACAAGGUGCUGAGAGCUGCAGAGGGGGUGAUUCACCAAUGCAAGCUCCUGAGGUGUCGACAGUCACACAUAUCGUCCGGGAGGAGAUUGUAACGGAGGAUGUUUUUUGCUUGGGGAACACAUUGAGGAGACAGUUUGGCAUCGACAACCAUCAGUCUGACUUGUUGUUAUUGGUUCUAUCUGUGUUUCUUAAAAUAAGUCCCGUACCACAUUGCCAAACUCACCUCUCUUGAACUGCAGAAAGGGAGCACGAGGAAGAAGCUCUGCAAAACUGUCCUCUUUCAGGGGUUUUAGAGCGUGUGGGUGUGUGUUGUUCCAUGACAAUUCAAGACUUUAAUCCUAAAUUCCGGCAUCCCAAAACUAAUUCUAAGCUUUAUAUCUGUACUUUAACCUUACUCAUCACAUAGUAUCUUUAUGUCAUAUCUGUCAUCAUUCUGACAAGAUUAACACUGAAACUGAAAGCAAUUGUUUAAGAAUGCCUGGAAACAGUGGUCUGUCACAUUAUAUGUGAAUACUGCUGUAAGUGCUGGUGGGUCUGUAAAUACCUCUGUUUGUUUGUGUUUCAUGAACUCUAGCCUCAUGGUGUGUCUCCAGGAAUCCAAAUGUUGGUCUCCUUUGCCUUACACUGGGUUUGUGAGGUUGUGUAUAGUGAAAUGUAUCUUUACAUUAUGUGUUUGUGAUUGUCUUAACCCUG